AGGGGCGGACCAUUAGAAAUCCCGGGAGGGGGGGUGAAAAUUCCCAAAAAAAAAUUCGUGCAAAGGAAAAUGCCUGGAAAAAAAAUUCGUGCAGCCAUUACGUCAGAGAAAAAAAAUUCGUGCAAGCAAACAGCGAAGUACAAAUAGUCUUGAAAAAAAAUUCGUGCAGAGGUUAAAUGCAUUAAAAAAAUUCCUGCAGAGACACGAGACUGAAAAAAAAAUUCGUGCCGCAAAAAUUUUAUACCCCCCCCCCCCUCCCGGGAUUUCUAAUGGUCCGCCCCUUA